UACGUAGGGCGCAAGCGUUAUCCGGAAUUAUUGGGCGUAAAGAGCUCGUAGGCGGCUUGUCACGUCGGGUGUGAAAGCCCCGGGGCUUAACCCCGGGUCUGCAUUCGAUACGGGCUAGCUAGAGUGUGGUAGGGGAGAUCGGAAUUCCUGGUGUAGCGGUGAAAUGCGCAGAUAUCAGGAGGAACACCGGUGGCGAAGGCGGGUCUCUGGGCAGUAACUGACGCUGAGGGGCGAAAGCGUGGGGAGCAAACAGG
rnacentral:rRNA from 1 species